CACUAUUCUCACAACUUAGAAAAAUUCGGUAAUUUUACCUAAAAAUCAGUUUAAAUAUCCCCAAUUGUUCCCCUAACAAUUAGAUACCUGAUGCGGUAUCUAGUCAAGGUUCAUGGCACUCAUUUGGUUAUUAGUCUUUUUAAUAUAGAAUAAUUACCUACUAUUUAUGUUUUCAAUAACACUGAUUUUUUUUUUUAAGAGAGUCCAAGCCAAGUGUCUUGUAGGAUAUCCCACAUUCUGGAUUUGUCUGUUUCCUCAUGGCUCAAUUCAGGUGAAAUGUCUUUGCAGGAAUACUAUUAAUACAUGGAUGAGGAACACUACUGACACAUGGGUGAGAUGCUAUUGAUACAUGGGUGAUGAAUGCUACUGAUAAAUGAAUGAGGGAUACUAUUGAUACAUGGUGAGGAACACUGCUGAUACACGGUGAGGAACACUACUAUUGAUACAUGGUGAGGAACACUGCUGAUACAUGGUGAGGAACACUGCUGAUACAUGGUGAGGAACACUGCUGAUACAUGGUGAGGAACACUACUAUUGAUACAUGGUGAGGAACACUGCUGAUACAUGGGUGAGGAACACUGCUGAUACAUGGGUGAGGAACACUGCUGAUACACGGUGAGGAACACUACUAUUGAUACAUGGUGAGGAACACUGCUGAUACAUGGGUGAGGAACACUGCUGAUACACGGUGAGGAACACUACUAUUGAUACAUGGUGAGGAACACUGCUGAUACAUGGGUGAGGAACACUGCUGAUACAUGGUGAGGAACAGUACUAUUGAUACAUGGUGAGGAACACUGCUGAUACAUGGUGAGGAACACUGCUGAUACAUGGUGAGGAACACUGCUGAUACAUGGUGAGGAACACUACUAUUGAUACAUGGUGAGGAACACUGCUGAUACAUGGUGAGGAACACUGCUGAUACAUGGUGAACACUACUAUUGAUACAUGGUGAGGAACACUGCUGAUACAUGGGUGAGGAACACUGCUGAUACAUGGUGAGGAACACUGCUGAUACAUGGUGAGGAACACUGCUGAUACAUGGUGAGGAACACUGCUGAUACAUGGUGAGGAACACUGCUGAUACAUGGUGAGGAACACUGCUGAUACAUGGGUGAGGAACACUGCUGAUACAUGGUGAGGAACACUACUAUUGAUACAUGGUGAGGAACACUGCUGAUACAUGGGUGAGGAACACUGCUGAUACAUGGUGAGGAACACUACUAUUGAUACAUGGGUGAGGAACACUGCUGAUACAUGGUGAGGAACACUGCUGAUACAUGGGUGAGGAACACUGCUGAUACAUGGUGAGGAACACUGCUGAUACAUGGGUGAGGAACACUGCUGAUACAUGGUGAGGAACACUACUAUUGAUACAUGGGUGAGGAACACUGCUGAUACAUGGUGAGGAACACUGCUGAUACAUGGG
ensembl:lncRNA